UCUUAUGAAUGAGCAAAUAAAGUGGUUUCUUGAGAUAGACUCUACUUCCUGGUGAAGAUGCUGUGAA
rnacentral:pre_miRNA from 1 species